rnacentral:rRNA from 1 species
UACGGAAGGCAGCAGUGGGGAAUAUUGCACAAUGGGCGAAAGCCUGAUGCAGCUAUGCCGCGUGUAUGAAGAAGGCCUUAGGGUUGUAAAGUACUUUCAUCGGGGAGGAAAAAACAAAACUAAUAAUUUUUAUUUCUUGACGUUACCCGAAAAAGAAGCACCGGCUAACUCCGUGCCAGCAGCCGCGGUAAUACGGAGGGUGCUAGCGUUAAUCAGAAUUACUGGGCGUAAAGAGGCACGUAGGUGGUUUUUUUAAAGUCAGAUGUGAAUCCCUGGGCUUAACCUGGAACUGCAUUUUGAAACUGAAAUACUAGAGUAUCGUAGAGGGAGGUAGAAUUCUAGGUGUAGCGGUGAAAUGCGUAGAUAUCUGGAGGAAUACCUGUGGCGAAAGCGGCCUCCUAAACGAAUACUGACACUGAGGUGCGAAAGCGUGGGGAGCGAAACAGGGAUUAGAUACC